GACUGUGCAAAGGUAGCAUAAUCAAUAGUUUCUUAAUUAGAAGCUGGAAUGAAUGGUUGGACGAGAAAUUGACUGUCUUUAUUUAUAAAUUAAAAUUUUAUUUUUAAGUUAAAAAGCUUAAAUAAUUUUAAAAGACGAGAAGACCCUAUAGAGUUUUAUAAUUUAUAAAAUUUUAAUUAUAGAAUUAUUUUUAUUUUAUUAAUUAUUUUAUUGGGGUGAUAUAUAAAUUUAAUAAACUUUAUAUUUUUUUAUACAUUAAUAAAUGAUUUUAUGAUCCAUUAUUUAUGAUUAAAAGAAAAAAUUACCUUAGGGAUAACAGCGUUAUUUUUUUUUAGAGUUCAAAUCGAAAAAAAAGUUUGCGACCUCGAUGUUGGAUUAAAAUUAAUUUUUGGUGUAGAAGCUAAAAAAUUAGGUCUGUUCGACCUUUAAAAUUUUACAUGAUCUGAGUUUAAACCGGUGUGAGCCAGGUUGGUUUCUAUCUUUAAAAUAUUUAAAUAUUUUAGUACGAAAGGACCAAAUAUUUUUAAAAUUUAAUUUAAUUUGAAUA
rnacentral:rRNA from 1 species